UCAUGAACUGUUACUCUCAACAUGGG
rnacentral:piRNA from 1 species